CCCCUCUCAGGAUGGCACCUGGAGAGUUUCCAGUACUCUACUAGCCUUGGCUACAGGAGAGAGAGUCAAGCAGAGGCCUACCCAUUCCAUUCCUAGCUUGGCCAGUGGCUAGCGAGUGAAAGGCAAUCUGCUCCAAGU
rnacentral:snoRNA from 1 species